ACUUGAUGGUGUUUAUGACGUCGAAUAUCGACGUCAUAAACACCAAACUUGAUGGUGUUUAUGACGUCGAAUAUCGUCGUCAUAAACACCA
rnacentral:miRNA from 1 species